rnacentral:rRNA from 1 species
UACGUAGGGUGCAAGCGUUGUCCGGAAUUAUUGGGCGUAAAGGGCGCGUAGGCGGCGAUCCAAGUUAGGCGUGAAAGCCCCGGGCUUAACCUGGGAAUUGCGCUUAAGACUGGACUGCUUGAGUGCGGGAGAGGUGAGUGGAAUUCCCAGUGUAGAGGUGAAAUUCGUAGAUAUUGGGAAGAACACCAGUGGCGAAGGCGGCUCACUGGCCCGCAACUGACGCUGAGGCGCGAAAGCGUGGGGAGCAAACAGG